CACGCGAGGCUUCCUUUUUAAACUGUUUUUAUUCCCGCAGACGCAUGAAGAAGAUAGAAUUUGUAUUUGCGAAAUGGCACUCAGGUUCAGCUCACACAUAGCUGGAUUAUUUUCUAGGUUGGGAUGCGGUUGACUCAAAACAGGUUGUGUAGUGUAGACAUAUAUCCAACAAAUAUUUGAGCACACGCCCGGUGUCCAGCACUGUUAGCGUUUGGCCGAGCCCGCGGAGCACACAAACACUCGGUCAUUGUUGGUUCUGGCCUCAAGUGGGCGUCUCGAGGCUGCACCUGAAGCCUGUCUUAUCUGCACAGAUUUUUCAGUCCCAAUGCCGGAACCACCUGGGAGUUUGUUCUGGUGACUGUUUCUGAUGUUCUCAAUCCGGAGGAGAGGGGGAAAUACGAAAUAUAGUGCAUUCAACACAAGGUCAAAAGAAAAACCGUUUUUACAAAUAUGUAUGGGAAAACUGUCAACUCACAAACCCAGCUAAGAAAAAGAAUGUGCAUUUACAGAAGUCAGAGAAGAACAACAGAUUUUAAGUGAGCUCCUCAGAGAUCUCCUGACCACAAGACAGCUUUCCACUGGUUUUCCUUUCUGUUAUUCAAGAUCUCUUCCCCCAGUUCUUUGAUUCUGCCUAUUACAAGCAUCUAUAACUGUUCUUCAAUGUUAAGUUUUUGCUCUCCUAUUUUGAGGAGUUUAUUACAAGUUUCCUUUCCUG
rnacentral:lncRNA from 1 species